GCAAACAUGUACGGCAAAAGUGAAUUGCUUUUUACGACAUGUAGAGCCGCAUGCUAUAUCAAGACUUCAGGAAAAGUACCGAUCGGCGGCGGAUGCCGAUCCCAAGAUAAGCCUAGGACACAACGCCGCAUGUAUUGAUAGCGAAACAACCACUGCAACCAUCGAAUGGACAUUUGCCAAAGGUUUGCAAUAGUCCUAAUAGUGUUAAGAGGCUGUGGGCCUCACACGAUGGCUCCACAAUGGCUCCAUCCCCAAACCGUGAUGUUGCAGGACUGAUCAUUUGUGUACUAACCAAGCCUUUGACUGACCGACCAGGUAAAGUAGCCCAAAACCACCAUCAACACCGCCACCUACCAAGGCCACUGGCACCAUAGCCGCCA
rnacentral:lncRNA from 1 species